CUCAAGCUACUUCAAUUUGGCAGAUAGGUGAAGAGUAUGAAUUAAGUGGGAAUAUUGUGGACAACUGGGGUGUCUGGGGACCCUUCACACAUCCCUUGCAUACACCUAUGCUUGAAGUGAGGCAUUUAAUAAAGACCACUUGGUUACCAAAAUACAAUCGGUGCAUUGAAUUUUCCUGAUGGGCUAUUAAAGGGUUACUGUUUACGAGAUCUGAGGGUGUGUUCGUUAAAAAAGCUCCCAUGUAUUACUAUUGGACUGUAAGUAGCAUUCAUAUGCUGCAGGAAGGAUAUUAAUUAAAUAAUCAGAGCGACUCAUUUGGGAUUACUUCUUGAGUAGUAAUUGAUUUCCCUGCUGUGACAUCUGUAUUGUCUGUACUACAGAACAGCCUUAUUCAUGUAUGAUGAGAGAUCUCUAGGAAACAAGGUGGGUUUGAUAAUGGAACACAGUGAGAUUGCAGCAUGCUAAUGUGUUACCCAGCUCAACAACUUUUUAAGUAAGCCAGUUUUACUUUAGCUUUACUAAAUGCACUAUUACAU